rnacentral:rRNA from 1 species
AGUGAACGCUGGCGGUAGGCCUAACACAUGCAAGUCGAACGGCAGCACAGUAAGAGCUUGCUCUUACGGGUGGCGAGUGGCGGACGGGUGAGGAAUACAUCGGAAUCUACUUUUUCGUGGGGGAUAACGUAGGGAAACUUACGCUAAUACCGCAUACGACCUACGGGUGAAAGCAGGGGAUCUUCGGACCUUGCGCGAUUGAAUGAGCCGAUGUCGGAUUAGCUAGUUGGCGGGGUAAAGGCCCACCAAGGCGACGAUCCGUAGCUGGUCUGAGAGGAUGAUCAGCCACACUGGAACUGAGACACGGUCCAGACUCCUACGGGAGGCAGCAGUGGGGAAUAUUGGACAAUGGGCGCAAGCCUGAUCAAGCCAUACCGCGUGAGUGAAGAAGGCCUUCGGGUUGUAAAGCCCUUUUGUUGGGAAAGAAAAGCAGCAGGUUGAUACCCCGCUGUUCUGACGGUACCCAAAGAAUAAGCACCGGCUAACUUCGUG